CACGUGAUAUCCUGUCUGAAGAUGGGGGGACCAUCCUCCAAGGCUAAAUACUCCUGACUGACCGAUAGUGAACCAGUACCGUGAGGGAAAGGCGAAAAGAACCCCUGUGAGGGGAGUGAAAUAGAACCUGAAACCGUAUACGUACAAGCAGUAGGAGCAGACUUGUUCUGUGACUGCGUACCUUUUGUAUAAUGGGUCAGCGACUUAAUGUCAGUAGCAAGGUUAACCGUAUAGGGGAGCCGUAGGGAAACCGAGUCUUAAUAGGGCGAAUGAGUUG
rnacentral:rRNA from 1 species